GGUUGCGAGUCCGAAGUGCCGAUGUGCGAAAUGCAUAGCUGCAGAUACAAGGAGCCGACGCGCGAUGCGCUUAUUCGCGCAGUCCGAGGUGCCGACGCGCGAGAUGCCUAGCCGCGUGCUCGAGGAGUCGACCCUCGAUGCGCUUAUUCGCGCAGUCCGAUGUGCCGACGCGCGAGAUGCCUAGCCGCGGGCUCGAGGAGUCGACCCUCGAUGCGCUUAUUCGCGCAGUCCGAGGUGCCGACGCGCGAAAUGCCUAGUCGCGGGCUCGAGGAGUCGACCCUCGAUGCGCUUAUUCGCGCAGUCCGAGGUGCCGAUGCGCGAAAUGCCUAGCCGCGUGCUCGAGGAGUCGACCCUCGAUGCGCUUAUUCGCGCAGUCCGAUGUGCCGACGCGCGAGAUGCCUAGCCGCGGGCUCGAGGAGUCGACCCUCGAUGCGCUUAUUCGCGCAGUCCGAUGUGCCGACGCGCGAGAUGCCUAGCCGCGGGCUCGAGGAGUCGACCCUCGAUGCGCUUAUUCGCGCAGUCCGAGGUGCCGACGCGCGAGAUGCCUAGCCGCGGGCUCGAGGAGUCGACCCUCGAUGCGCUUAUUCGCGCAGUCCGAGGUGCCGACGCGCGAGAUGCCUAGCCGCGGGCUCGAGGAGUCGACCCUCGAUGCGCUUAUUCGCGCAGUCCGAGGUGCCGACGCACGAAAUUCCUAGUCGCGGGCUCGAGGAGUCGACACUCGAUGCGCUUGUUCGCGCAGUCGGAGGCGCCGAUGCACAAAAUGAUUAGGUGACGGUCCAAGAAGUCCGCGCGCGAUGUGCAUGAUCGCCGAGUCGGAGACUCCCUAUGCGCGAAAUGUUUAGCCGCGUUUCCGAGGAUUGCGUGCGCGAUACGAAUUUGUCACGAAUUCGAAACACCGA
rnacentral:lncRNA from 1 species